CGAGCAGGCUGGGCAGCCGCGAGAAAUGGCGCAAGCCUUUUUUCGAGGAAAGUCCGGGCUCCAUAGGGCAGGACGCCGGGUAACUCCCGGUGGAGGCGACUCCCAGGAAAGUGCAACAGAAAUAAACCGCCAGGAUUAAUUCCUUGGCAAGGGUGGAAAGGCGAGGCAAGAGCUCACCGCUUUCCUGGCAACAGGAAAGGCUCUGCAAACCCCGUCCGGAGCAAGAUCAGAUUGAAGCGAUAGGCGGCCCGUCUCAAGCUUCAGGUUGGAUCGCUUGAGCGCAUAGGAGACUAUGCGCCUAGACAGAUGGCUGUCCACGACAGAACCCGGCUUACAGGCCCGCUCGGCUA
rnacentral:RNase_P_RNA from 1 species